rnacentral:tRNA from 1 species
GCCCGAGUGGUGAAAUUGGUAUACACAAGGGACUUAAAAUCCCUCGGCUGUAAUGGCCAUGCCGGUUCGAGUCCGGCCUCGGGCACCA